UAACACAUGCAAGUCGAGCGGUAGCACAAGAGAGCUUGCUCUCUGGGUGACGAGCGGCGGACGGGUGAGUAAUGUCUGGGAAACUGCCUGAUGGAGGGGGAUAACUACUGGAAACGGUAGCUAAUACCGCAUAACGUCGCAAGACCAAAGAGGGGGACCUUCGGGCCUCUUGCCAUCAGAUGUGCCCAGAUGGGAUUAGCUAGUAGGUGGGGUAAUGGCUCACCUAGGCGACGAUCCCUAGCUGGUCUGAGAGGAUGACCAGCCACACCGGAACUGAGACACGGUCCAGACUCCUACGGGAGGCAGCAGUGGGGAAUAUUGCACAAUGGGCGCAAGCCUGAUGCAGCCAUGCCGCGUGUGUGAAGAAGGCCUUCGGGUUGUAAAGCACUUUCAGCGAGGAGGAAGGUGGUGAGCUUAAUACGCUCAUCAAUUGACGUUACUCGCAGAAGAAGCACCGGCUAACUCCGUGCCAGCAGCCGCGGUAAUACGGAAGGUGCAAGCGUUAAUCGGAAUUACUGGGCGGUAAGCGCACGCGAGCGGUUUGUGUAAUCAGAUGUGAAAUCCCCGGGCUCAACCUGUGAACUGCGUUUGAAACUGGGCGGCCUAGAGUCCCCGGUAAGGGGGGUAGAAUUCCAGAUGUAACGGGGGCUGGCGUGGGGCUUGUGAGGAUCCCGGGGGGUUGUGCGAGCCCCUGUCCCAAAGACGGCGCUCACGGGCGGGAGAGGGGGGUGCAGUAAACUCGAAGCCCCUGGGUGGCCGCCCGGGGGAGAGGCCGGAA
rnacentral:rRNA from 1 species